CUGCGGCAGCUACCAUGCAGUCGAGCGAGAAGGUAGCAAUACUGAGUACAGCGGCGGACGGGUGAGGAACACGUAGGAAUCUACCUGGUAGUGGGGGACAACGCGGGGAAACUCGCGCUAAUACCGCAUACGCCCUAAGGGGGAAAGUGGGGACCGUAAGGCCUCACGCUAUCAGAGGAGCCUGCGUAGGAUUAGCUAGUUGGUGGGGUAAAGGCCUACCAAGGCGACGAUCCUUAGCUGGUCUGAGAGGAUGAUCAGCCACACCGGAACUGAGACACGGUCCGGACUCCUACGGGAGGCAGCAGUGGGGAAUCUUGCACAAUGGGCGAAAGCCUGAUGCAGCCAUGCCGCGUGUGUGAAGAAGGCCUUCGGGUUGUAAAGCACUUUAAGCGGGGAGAAAAGGGUAGUCAUUAACACUGGCUAUCUGUGAUGUUACCCGCAGAAUAAGCACCGGCAAACUUCGUGCCAGCAGCCGCGGUAAUACGGAGGGUGCGAGCGUUAAUCGGAAUUACUGGGCGUAAAGAGCACGUAGGCGGUUUGAUAAGCGGAAUGUGAAAGCCCCGGGCUUAACCUGGGAACUGCAUCCCGAACUGUCAGGCUAGAGUAUGAUAGAGGUGAGCGGAAUUUCCUGUGUAGCGGUGAAAUGCGUAGAUAUAGGAAGGAACAUCAGUUGCGAAGGCGGCUCACUGGAUCAAUACUGACGCUGAGGUGCGAAAGCGUGGGUAGCGAACAGGAUUAGAUACCCUGGUAGUCCACGCCGUAAACGAUGUCUACUAGCCGUUAGGGUACUUGAUACCCUAGUGGCGUAGCUAACGCGAUAAGUAGACCGCCUGGGGAGUACGGCCGCAAGGUUAAAACUCAAAGGAAUUGACGG
rnacentral:rRNA from 1 species